CGGUAACAUUUCUAGCUUGCUAGAAGAUGACGAGUGGCGGACGGGUGAGUAAUACUUAGGAAUAUGCCUUUGUGUGGGGGAUAACUAUUGGAAACGAUAGCUAAUACCGCAUAACGUCUUCGGACCAAAGGGGGCUUCGGCUCCCGCGCAAAGAGUAGCCUAAGCGAGAUUAGCUUGUUGGUGAGGUAAAGGCUCACCAAGGCGACGAUCUCUAGCUGUUCUGAGAGGAAGAUCAGCCACACUGGAACUGAGACACGGUCCAGACUCCUACGGGAGGCAGCAGUGGGGAAUAUUGCACAAUGGGGGAAACCCUGAUGCAGCCAUGCCGCGUGUGUGAAGAAGGCCUUCGGGUUGUAAAGCACUUUCAGUUGUGAGGAAAGGUUGAUGGUUAAUACCCAUCAGCUGUGACGUUAGCAACAGAAGAAGCACCGGCUAACUCCGUGCCAGCAGCCGCGGUAAUACGGAGGGUGCGAGCGUUAAUCGGAAUUACUGGGCGUAAAGCGCACGCAGGCGGUUAUAUAAGCUAGAUGUGAAAGCCCCGGGCUCAACCUGGGAAUAGCAUUUAGAACUGUAUGACUAGAGUCUUGGAGAGGGGAGUGGAAUUCCAGGUGUAGCGGUG
rnacentral:rRNA from 1 species